rnacentral:tRNA from 1 species
GCUUUCGUGGUAUAGUGGUCAGCACGCUCGGCGUGUAUUCGAGAGGUCCGUGGUUCGAAUCCCGGCAAGGGCA